rnacentral:rRNA from 1 species
AUAGUAUUUGCUAAUUUCUGUGCCAGCAGCAGCGGUAAUACAGAAAAUGCAAGCGUUAUUCAUUUUAUUAGGCGUAAAGCGUUUUAAGGUUUUAUAUUAAUUUUAUGUUUAAAUAUUUAAAUUAAAUUUAAAAUAAAUUAAUAAAUAAUAAUAUAAUAGAGUAUUAUAAAAGUAUUAAGAAUUUUUUGAGAAGUAGUGAAAUACAAUGAUACAAAAAAGAAUAUCAAAGGCGAAAGCAUAAUACUAUAUAAUUACUGACACUUAAAAACGAAAGCUAAGGUAGCAAAUAGGAUUAGAUACCCUAGUAGUCUUAGCUGUAAACUAUGAAUAUUUUAUAUUUAUAUUUUAUAAAUAUAAUAACUAACGUGAUAAAUAUUCCGCCUGAGUAGUAUAUUCGCAAGAAUGAAAUUCAAAGGAAUUGACGGGAGCUUAUACAAGUGGUGGAACAUGUGGCUUAAUUCGAUGCAACACGAUAAACCUUACCAAAAUUUAACAAUAUUUUUAAUAUUAAGAAAUUAAUAUUUUAAUAAAAUAUAUAGGUAGUGCAUGGCUGUCGUCAGUUCGUGCUGUGAAGUGUUAAUUUUAGUAUUAUAACGAACGUAACCUUUUAUAAAAAAAAUUUUUAUAAUAAAUAAUAAUAAAGAUUACGUCAAGUCAUUAUGCUCCUUAUAUUUUGGGCUGCUCACGUGUUACAUAAAAUAUUACAAUAUUUUAUUAUAUGUUAAAUAUAAUAAUUAAAAUAUAUUUAUAGUUCAGAUUAUAAAUUGAAACUCAUUUAUAUAAAGAUGGAAUCACUAGUAAUCGCUAAUCAGAAUUAUAGCGGUGAAUAAGUUCUUAAGCUUUGUACACACCGCCCGUCACAUCUAAAAAGUAUCAUAUUAUAUAAAAAUUAUUGUUAAAUAAUAAUAUAUAAUUAUAUAAUUUAGAUGAAGUCGUAACAAGGUAGCCGUACUGGAAGGUGCGGCUG